rnacentral:rRNA from 1 species
CCUACGGGUGGCUGCAGUGGGGAAUAUUGGACAAUGGGGGCAACCCUGAUCCAGCCAUGCCGCAUGUGUGAAGAAGGCCCUCGGGUUGUAAAGCACUUUCAGUGAGGAAGAACGCCUGGUGGUUAAUACCCAUCAGGAAAGACAUCACUCACAGAAGAAGCACCGGCUAACUCCGUGCCAGCAGCCGCGGUAAUACGGAGGGUGCGAGCGUUAAUCGGAAUUACUGGGCGUAAAGCGCGCGUAGGUGGCUUGAUAAGCCGGUUGUGAAAGCCCCGGGCUCAACCUGGGAACGGCAUCCGGAACUGUCAAGCUAGAGUGCAGGAGAGGAAGGUAGAAUUCCCGGUGUAGCGGUGAAAUGCGUAGAGAUCGGGAGGAAUACCAGUGGCGAAGGCGGCCUUCUGGACUGACACUGACACUGAGGUGCGAAAGCGUGGGUAGCAAACAGGAUUAGAUACCCGAGGAGUC